UUUACGUGUAGUUGUUGAUUGAAGUGUCACCGCCCAAAACUACAUUCAAUAGUUGUAACCUGUUCACCACCACCCCACUUACCCAAUAUAUUUUCAAAGACACCGCCCCACUACAAGUUGAUUGUCGGCCACAAUCAAAAUUUUGUGAAUAAUCAUUUUGUUGGUCAGUUGCUGAUAUCAAUAUCCACCGCCCAAUCAACAUAAUCUUUUGCACCGCCCAUUAAAGAGUGUGAGGCCCAAUCAGAUUUUUUAAUCCACUGCACAUCACAGCCCCACUUAAAGUGUUUGUGAUUGGUUGUUUGGUACAGCCCAUUUGUUUAAAUUCGGUCAAAUCUCAUGUUUUAUCACAAGUUCAGAAGACAGUUGAUUAGUGAUUCGAGGGAUUUUUACAAGGGACAAAUUUCAAGAAGUUGAAAUUGUGUGAACUUUGAGCGAAAAACAUUUUUUAAUCAAGUCACUAAUAUUCAAAAUUUGACAAAAAAUGUUUGAUGAACAAGAAAACAAAAAUCUUGAAAAUCUGAAUAACUGGAAAAAGGAAGCUUGGAAUGAAACGAGAUAUGAUAAAGAGGUCUAUAUAAACAGAUACGAAAAUUUCUUGUGCAUGAAGGAUGAAUCGAUGGAGAUGUUGAAAGAAAGAUUUUGGGAAUUAAUAAUCAAAUUAGAUAAACAUAAGGUUUGGUAUUCAACUGAUGAUAAAAAAUUAAAAUUUGUUGAGGCGUUACCUUUGGAAUGGAACAAAUUUGUGAAUAAUGAACUAAAACGAGAUUCUAGGUUAUCACGCAUUGAUCUAAGAAGUCUGCUCAACACAGUUACAAAUCAUCAGUUUCAUGAAAAUGCAGAUAAAAGGAAGUUAUUGGAUGAUUUAAAAGAAGAAUCAGGAAAGAUAGAUUUGAAUAUAAUCAUCGAAAUAAGAAAACGAAUUGAUGUGUGUCUUGCAGCAAAAAAGAAUAUGAGAUACGAUAUUAAGAGGGGUUGUUAUAUUGAUAAAGAUUCGAAUCCUCUUGAUUUUGUUAAACUUUUUUGUGCAGGUACAUAUGAAAAGAUGAUUGAAGAUGGUUCGAAAUGCGAAAAAUCAGAAGCCGACAGUAUGAAACUCUUGAAGGAUGUGGAGAGUUUGACAUUGGAAAACAAUACUCUGAAAAACGAGAAGAAAGCUGAUGACGAACAUAUUCAGGGUUUACGUUUAAAUUGCGAAAAAUUGAGGUCUGAAAAUGACGAAUUUUUAAAGAUUGUUGAGAGUUUAACAGCAGAAAACAAAAUUUUGAAAGAAAAUGAAAAAGAUUUUGAAAGCAAAAGAAAAUCUUCAGAAGAUGAAGAUCUCUGGAUAAAAUUGGA
rnacentral:lncRNA from 1 species